rnacentral:lncRNA from 10 species
CGACUGGAGGGAUUAAGAAGAACUCUUAGGAGCAGCUUGGCCUAAAGGCUGUGUGGGACGUGCCUGCUUUGCCUUCGCCUUCCACCAUGAUCGUAAGUUUUCUGAGACCCCCUCAGCCAUGUUUCCUGUAGAGCCUGUGGAGUUGUGAGUCAAUUAAACCUCUUUUCUUCAUAAAUUACCCAGUUUCAGGUAUUCCUUUGUAGCAAUGUGAUAACAGCCUAAUAAAGGUGACCUUAUAAGGAAAAAGAGACAUAGCAACACAGACGUAGACCCAGACCCAAAAUUGGUGAAAUCUGAAUGAACUCUGUGGUUUGUACCAAUGUCAUUUUCAUGAUUUUAAUAUCGUACAAUAGUUACAGUAGAUGUUACAAUUGGGGGAAACAUCCCUGUACAUUUAUUUUACAACUUCCUGUGAGUCUAUACUUAAUUGAAAUUAGAUGUUUUUAAAAAGAAUUAAAGGUAAUGUAAUGGCAUGUGAUGCAAAAAAUGGGCACAUGAAAUAUCCAGAGCAUUCAACCAGAUGGCAGCUAAAAAUGUGGACCAUCUGCCUUCAUGGAACUUUGUAUUUCGGACAUCUUUUCAUCAGCAAGACCAUGCCAUUUAAAUGUUUUCCCAGAAGUGAUGCUGAGCUAUGUUCAGUGGCCACAUGGCUCUCUAGAAUCAGUAACAAUGAAUAAGGAUGGACAGCCGGGAGUAAAGAUGCUCUCCAGGAAAUCAUCUUAGGACUGGGUAACCCCACUACACCCCUGGGAUUCAGUCAACCUUGGAAAUCACUGGAAUCCUUAAUAUAAACUACAAACAAUCCAGCAUUCUCUGUUUGGCUAAAGAUACAUUUCAAAGUUUUCUUUAAG